ACACCUUGAGGAGUAGGAAGAGUACUCAUACUGGAAGAGUAUUCAGCACGGACUGGAAUCCUGCAUACAUAUCUGAGCUCUGUGUUCUGUAGAGAUGGGGUUUCACCAUGUUGCCCAGGCUGGUCUCAAACUCCUGAGCUCAGGCCAUCUGCCCGCCUCGGCCUCCCAAAGUGCUAGGAUUACAGAUUUCUGACUUCAUAUCUGUGGGAUCCACACAAUGGGGAGGUACUGGCCUUGGAAUCCAUGGUUCCCCAGCUAUCAUUUUACUUUAGAAUUACAGUGUUCUCUGUUAGUGUCAAGGGAAUGAACCUGACGAGAAAAGACCAAACAUAGGACUGUUACAGGGAAGAAAAAUAUGAAAAGACCUAAAGAUGCACGUCCUCAUUAUAUGUAAGGAAUCUAUUUCCUAGAAUCCUAUAAAAAGCUCAAGUGAAUUUGCUUCAGUUAAUAAAUGUGAUUUAAUUAUAA
rnacentral:lncRNA from 1 species